AAGUGGUUUGUUCUACCACCAGUCAAUUAAUGAACGAGGAAUCGGAACAAAGAGGAGACUGUUUAUGCCAGUGCAGGGCUGAAGAUCCAUGGAGUAGCAACCAGUGGCCAUGUUUACCUCCAUCCUGUUUUAAUGUGAGGAACACGGUGGUGGUCGGUGUUGAGGUGGAUGUUCUAGAAGAGCUGGUCUUUGAGGACACAGAAAUCAUGGAAACACAGACAAUAUGUGAUGGAUGCCUGGAGAAUCAUGUGAUGGACUCUGCUUCAGUUUAUUCAUGCAGCUGUAAUCAUUUA